UUCGAUUAAGCCAUGCGAGUCGAGAGUCUUAGGGACUCGGCGUACCGCUCAGUAACACGUGGGUAACCUUCCCUAUGCUGGGGAAUAACCUCGGGAAACUGAGAAUAAUGCCCCAUAGUCCACAAUGCCUGGAACGGUUUGUGGAUCAAAGCUCCGGCGGCAUAGGAUGGGCCUGCGGCGUAUCAGGUUGUAGGGGGUGUAACGUACCCUCUAGCCAUCAACGCGUACGGGUGUUGGGAGACAUAGCCCGGAGAUGGAUUCUGAGACACGAAUCCAGACCCUACGGGGUGCAGCAGGCGCGAAAACUUGGCAAUGCGAGAAAUCGUGACCAGGGAACUCCAAGUGGCUGGGGUAAGACCCAGUCUUUUCUUGACUCUUCAACGGUCUUGGAAUAAGGGGUGGGUAAGGACGGUGCCAGCCGCCGCGGUAAUACCGGCGCCUCAAGUGGUAGUCGAUUUUAUUGGGCCUAAAACGUCCGUAGCCUGUUUGGUACAUUCGUGGGUAAAUCAACCAGCUCAACUGGUUGAAUUCUGCGAGCACGGCCAGACUUGGGACCGGGAGAGGUGUGGGGUACGCUCAGGGUAGGGGUAAAAUCCUGUCAUCCUGAGCGGACCACCUGUUGCGAAGGCGCCACACUAGAACGGAUCCGACGGUCAGGGACGAAGCCUAGGGGCACGAACCGGAUUAGAUACCCGGGUAGUCCUAGGUGUAAACGCUGUGGACUUGGUGUUGGGGACUCUCCGAGAUUCCUCAGUGCCGAAGCGAAGGUGAUAAGUCCACUGCCUGGGGAGUACGGUCGCAAGGCUGAAACUUAAAGGAAUUGGCGGGGGAGCACCGCAACCUGAGGAUUGUGCG
rnacentral:rRNA from 1 species